rnacentral:tRNA from 1 species
ACAUCGGUAGCACAGUGGUUAGUGCAGUCUGUCGGAAACAGAAAGACACGGGCUCAAAUUCCGUGCCAUGUC